ACUGUCUAAAUGUUUAUUAGUAAAAUAUACAAGAACCCUUUUGGUAAACAUAUAAAAAAAGUAUUGUGACGUGUAAAUGUACAGCUCCAGUAUUUUCUUAUCAACAGGGAUUUAAAAUCUCUACCUCAACGCCAUCUUGUGUCGAUGUCAUCACAGUGCAACGUGUGUGGUGGCAUUUUAAUUGGCUUUUGAAAGAUGCAGAGGCGAAGUACGUCCAGCAGAUGGCAGCAUUUCCUACGGUGGUGGAGCUGCUCCUGCACAAAGGCGCAU